rnacentral:rRNA from 1 species
CCUACGGGUGGCAGCAGUGGGGAAUAUUGCGCAAUGGGCGAAAGCCUGACGCAGCGACGCCGCGUGAGGGAUGAAGGUCUUCGGAUCGUAAACCUCUGUCAGCAGGGAAGAACGGUCACUGUGCUAAUCAGCAGUGAAUUGACGGUACCUGCAAAGGAAGCACCGGCUAACUCCGGGCCAGCAGCCGCGGUAAUACGGAGGGUGCGAGCGUUAAUCGGAAUUACUGGGCGUAAAGCGCUCGUAGGCGGUAUGUCAAGUCAAGGGUGAAAGCCCCGCGCUCAACGUGGGAACUGCCUUUGAAACUGGCAAACUGGAGUGUGUGAGAGGAUAGUGGAAUGCCAGGUGUAGGAGUGAAAUCCGUAGAUAUCUGGAGGAACAUCAGUGGCGAAGGCGACUAUCUGGCACAUAACUGACGCUGAGGAGCGAAAGCGUGGGUAGCAAACAGGAUUAGAUACCCCAGUAGUC